AUCCCAUGACGAGGACAAUUCUUGAUCAUCAUGUUAAACCGUUCGAAUGCUUCAUGAAACAUUUCACCUUGUUGUUGUUGAAAACUCCUCAACCCCUUCCUAGCAU
rnacentral:snoRNA from 1 species